GAGCGCCGGCGAGGCACCCACCGCUCCCUGCGUCGGCACCAGUCACCGCCGCUUCUGCCUGCCCAGUUCCGCGCGCGCAAUGGGGGGCUGCAAGUGGCAGGCCGCCAUGGCGUCCCGUCGCACGGUGUGCCGCGUCCAAGUCCGACAUGACGCCGCGGUGGGUGCACAAGGCCGUGGCGCGGUGACCUUGGACGAGCGGGCGGACGCCUGCUGGUGUCAGGUUUUCUGGAAGGAGGGGUGUGGCUGUGGUGGGCCGUCGCGCCGCCGGGCGUGUCCGUGCUGACGUGCUGCGAUGAGGUGCGAGGCGAUGCAUAGCUCGCCGCGGCGAUAAAGGGGGCGCCGGAGCUUCAGGCUGACGAGAACGCGGCGGCGUCCACGCCGGACGUUGCGCCGUGGUGGAUGCAGAUGUCGACCGGGGGCCGCGGCGACGGUGAGGUGGGCGCCUGAACCUCAGGUUCAGCGGCAUGGCAUGCUCUGGCUCCUCUGCUUCGGGAUGGGUAGUUCCGUGCCUCGUGCAUUGGUACAUGAGGUGGGCGUGGCGCCAUGGUGGAUGCAGAUGUCGACCGGGGGCGCGGCGAUGGUGAGGUGGGCGCCUGAACCUCAGGUUCAGCGGCAUGGCGUGCUCUCUGCUCUGUCUCCUCUGCUCCACGGCAUGCAACAAAAGAUAAAGGUGAAAGGCUGCAAACUUGCUUGCCAUCAUGAAGACAUGAGCUCAGAGCAACAUAAAAAACAAAAGAUUUGAGAUGGAAAGACAGUGAAGAAGCUUUCGUAGCUUGCCAUCAUCCAGUUUCUUAAGUUUAAAAGGAUAUAGUAAGUUGGAAGGUUGCAACAAUUUUGUAGGAGGAGGGAGCAAACCUUGGUUGACUAGCCCAGCACCAAUAGACAAUGGUACCAACCAGUUCUUACUCAGUUGGAGUCGACCUCAGGAGACUUCUUUGUCUUCUUAUUCAGUUCAUUAGUCUGGUCCCAUCGCUAAUGAAAUACUCCAUACUCUGCGUUGGGGUGAUAUAUGUUAUUGAACAUUUGGUGACACU